GGCUCAAACGAAUAAAUACGUUUUACAAACGUCCACGACGUGAAAUCAUAAACUCUCUACACACACACUACACACUCUACGCACACACUACACACUCUACACACUCUACGCACACACUACACACACUCUACGCACACACUACACACUCUACACACUCUACACACACUACACACACACUACACACUCUACACACACACACACACACACUACACACCACACACACACACACUACACACUCUACACACACACUACACACUCUACACACACACUACACACUCUACACACACACUACACACACACUACACACUCUACACACUCUACACACACACUCUACACACACUACACACUCUACACACUCUACACACACACUACACACACUACGCACACUACACACACACUACACACUCUACACACACUACACACACUACACACUCUACACACACACUACACACUACACACUCUACACACUACACACACUACACACACUCUACACACACUACACACGCUACACACACACACUAGGAACAUGCUACCCACACUCUACACACACUACACACACUACACACUCUACACACACACUACACACUCUACACACUCUACACACUCUACACACUACACACACUACACACUCUACACACGCUACACACACUACACACACGCUACACACACACACUAGGAACAUGCUACCCACACUCUACACACACGCUACACACACGCUACACACUCUACACACUCUACACACUCUACACACUCUACACACACUACACACACUACACACACACACUAGGAACACGCUACACACACUACACACACGCUACACACACUACACACACUACGCACACUACGCACACUACACACACUCUACACACACUACACACACUCUACACACACUACACACUCUACACACACACUACACACUCUACACACACUACACACACACACUCACACACUACACACACUACGCACACUACACACACUACGCACACUACACACUCUCUACACACACUACACACGCUACACACUCUACACACUACACA
rnacentral:lncRNA from 1 species